GGCUAUGAAAGCCUUCUGCUGCGCUGCUUUCAAACACAUCUAUGCCGGUGGCCACAGCAGCUUUUGCUCCACCUGCGCCGUGGCUAGGGAGUGGGGAUUGUUGAUGCCAGAGGGGGCAGGUGGACUGGCAGUGGGACAUAGGACACUGCAGUAAAAGAACCAAUUAGCUCCUCAAGCUAUGAAUUAAGUAGGAGCAAUUCUUUGGGUUUAAUUACCCCUACUAGAAGCAAUCAACAGGAGUCAAUUGACCUUGGAUUUGAACACCCCUGAUGAAGUCAUUUUCGACGAAACACAUUGGAGGCCAUGCAUUCUGUUAGAUCGGAGGUCAACAAAGACUUUUUGCCCACUAAGACAAACACACUGAUAACAAACAAACUGUGAUAUUGCCCAUGGAAGAGUCUGCCUAAUAAGGCUGAAGAAGAGGAAGACAUGGUCACUCUACAACUGAUGCCUGUGUCCCCACCCAUGCGCGAUGGCCAGGAGCAAUCAGCUGACACCACUGAGGCUGCAGCACAACUGACACCCGGAAGUGAUGCAGCAGUUGAAAUUCUGGAGGGCAUUGCGGCAUUUGAGUGAACACAGGUGGAGUUCAUGGCCACACAAAUGCAGCAAACCAAACCAAAUGAGCACACAAUUAAAGGCUAUUAAACCAUA